AUUGAACGCUGGCGGCAGGCUUAACACAUGCAAGUCGAGCGGGGGAAGGUAGCUUGCUACCGGACCUAGCGGCGGACGGGUGAGUAAUGCUUAGGAAUCUGCCUAUUAGUGGGGGACAACAGCUCGAAAGGGAUGCUAAUACCGCAUACGUCCUACGGGAGAAAGCAGGGGAUCGUCGGACCUUGCGCUAAUAGAUGAGCCUAAGUCGGAUUAGCUAGUGGGUGGGGUAAAGGCCUACCAAGGCGACGAGCUGUAGCGGGUCUGAGAGGAUGAUCCGCCACACUGGGACUGAGACACGGCCCAGACUCCUACGGGAGGCAGCAGUGGGGAAUAUUGGACAAUGGGGGGAACCCUGAUCCAGCCAUGCCGCGUGUGUGAAGAAGGCCUUAUGGUUGUAAAGCACUUUAAGCGAGGAGGAGGCUACUCUAGUUAAUACCUAGGGAUAGUGGACGUUACUCGCAGAAUAAGCACCGGCUAACUCUGUGCCAGCCGCCGCGGUAA
rnacentral:rRNA from 1 species